rnacentral:rRNA from 1 species
UACGUAGGGUGCAAGCGUUGUCCGGAAUUAUUGGGCGUAAAGAGCUUGUAGGCGGUUUGUCGCGUCUGCUGUGAAAUUUCGGGGCUCAACCCCGAACUUGCAGUGGGUGACGGGCAGACUAGAGUGUGGUAGGGGAGACUGGAAUUCCUGGUGUAGCGGUGAAAUGCGCAGAUAUCAGGAGGAACACCGAUGGCGAAGGCAGGUCUCUGGGCCACUACUGACGCUGAGAAGCGAAAGCAUGGGGAGCGAACAGG